AAACUGGUAGCAAAUUUAAUCACCUGCAAAAGUGGGUGGGUGUGACCCUAGGACCUGGACCCAGAAAGGACCACCUUCUUCUCAAGAUCACACCCCUGUCAAAUUAACCCAGCUGCAAAAAUGGCAACAGCCUAAGUGUGGAAAGAGUAGGAACCAAAAUCCAAUUUUAAAGUUCUUGGAAGAUAAUGAGUACCUUUUUUUUUUGCGUCAUAGAAACCAACUCAGCCUUUUCUUGCUGUGUAGAGGCAGCCUGAAAAUUGCCUGAAGAUGGCAGAGCCCUGCUGAACAAGGCCAGCUCUCGCAAGCACGUCACUUGCCUUUGAUUCUCACCCUCAGUGUGAGUCAGAUAAACAGCAGUGGGCAGAACUGUAACAAGGUUGAAUACAUCCUGGAUAAAAUAUCAAGGUGCUGACCCUUCUCAGGAGUAGAAUAUACCAAUACUCUCUGGCUUUAAUAUAUGUGAUGGAGAGCAGUGUAAGUAUGUGCCAAGAGAUGUGCUUGCGAGCAGGAAGAGCUGCGCUUCAUUACAUGGUGAUGUUUGUGUGUGUAGGGCUGCUGCUCACCACAUGCCAGCUCUCCUGAAGACAAUAAUGCAGCUUUGCCACUCUCUUUACAUGUUUGUGCUGUGAAGCUCUCUUCUCAUUCCUGGAGACCUGAGGCAGGUGUCUGCUGUGAGCCACUUCUGCAGUGGUCCUUCAUUAUGACCUCACCAGUGAAAUUAUCCUCUUAUUCCAUCUUAACCUUGCACUUGCUCAUUGACACAAAUUUCAGUCAACAAGGUUUUUAUUCACAGGAAUGAAUUCCUGGGAAGGUUGGAGCGUAGCAAAGAGAUGCCUGGUGAAUAGCUUUGGGAAUAAUAUUGGCCGGCAUCUCAAGAAACAUCAGCAAGUACCAAACCGUUCAGGCAAGAAGAGUUCAGACAGGAGCCCAUACCAAUAAUACUGCUGAGAGACCUUGAACCUUCACCUGACUUAAUUCUCAGUACUCUCUGCUGCAAAAUGGGCAUAAUUAUACUAAUCUGCUUUGCAAAACUGCAGUGUUUUCAUUAGCUAAUAAGCCUCAAGUGUUUGGAGGUAACUCUUGGCUCACAUAAAAGGAGAGAACGUAUAUAAAAAGAGAACACAAAGGCAAUAAAGAUCUCAGAAGAUCUCUUCAGAACGAGAAGUUGCUCUCAAAUUAAAUGGGUGAGGCUUGUUUACAAAGAUAUUGAUGGUAUGAAAGACUGACACCCAGUCUUCUCUUUGUGCCUCGCAGGAGCUCGUGCGGAUUCAGGAGCUCCAGGAUUCAGGAACAAGCCAGCAGGUGGCUGUAGAUGCCAGCAGCUGCCCUGACAUGACAGCCGUUCACCCUGCGAGAGGAGACCCGGAGCAGGCUUACUGAAGUGGUUAACACCAGGUGCUCUCCUGCUGAUCUGCUAUCCCUCUCCAGGCACUGGCAUCAAAUUGGUAGGAGUGGGAUGCUUUGAGGUUCCCCUCUCCUGGCAACUUAAGUUGAAAGCCCUCUUCAGCAGCUUGCAAGCCUGUGAGCAAAGAUGCUCUUCCCCUUCUCUGACAGAUGGUCUUGUCGCAUUGAUUUCCAUUUAAGUGUUCUUUACGAUCUGAGCGUAUCAGUGGAAAACACUUCAUAAGAGCAAGAUCUUAUCACUUGAUGACUCCUGAUAUCAUUCAUGUGUUUUAACUUUGGUGUCUCUCCAAGCAGGUGUUUUAUCUGUUUUAUGAACAACCUUCAUGAUUAGAAUUAAUUCACUAUUUGCAUGUCACUCAUUAUAAAAAAAAAACCCUAUGGAGUUAAUAUUCAUACAGAUACUACUAUAAAAUCAAGGAAGUCUUUUAAAUCAUCACAGACGUCAAUACUGAGUUGUACUACAGAUCUAUAGGUAUUCUGCCUGCUCAGACAUAGAAAUGUACUGCAUGACAAAGGCUUCUUCCCCCCUUACAAAGAAGAAAUAAUAUAAUAAAAUGUGAAUAGGUUAUCCACCUUAUGUUAUACCUGGUAUCAAAAAAAGCAGAUGAUGUAACCUCGGGCAUUUUCACUCACACCUCAGCUGUUGAUCAGUACCAAACACAGAAGACUGGCUUUGAUACAUCAGGAAGCUGAGCCAAUGCUGCAGUCUUUUAUGAGAGCACCUCAUCUCACUGGCUAAUUAGAGACACUCGAAAUUGGAUUCAGUCUGAAGGCCAACAGCAGCUGGUGUAUUCAAACCUGUAUGAAGCAGCUCUCAUGUACAUAACUGCCACAACUGAGAACUGCCACACUCCAUAGCAAAAUGAGUCCCUGAGGUGUGAGUGCUUUUUGAGCUGGUGCAGCAAUGUGCUGGUUUAGGGGAGCCUCUGACGGUUACUGGGAGCAAUAAAAAAAAGAGUAACGGCAAUUUAUGCAGAAAAAAGCAUGACAAUGAGACUUCAGUCCUUACAAGAGAGUGUUUUGCUCUGUAGCUACUCAGCAAAUCCAUUUCUCUUCUUGCACCUUGUAGGUUGGGACAAAUUGUCAGCCUGCCUUUGGUAUGAGGAUGUCUUCUAGAAAAGCAAAGAAAUACCUUUUGUGUUCCUUCCACCCUCCUUCAGUGUCCAUCCUGCCUGUGAAGUGUUACUGUGUAAUCUUGUCUACUGCUGGUUAUUCAGAACGUGGCACCUUGGUGAGGGCUGUUUCCCCAUCUCCACUGAUGGGUUCAGCAGUGACUCAGAGUGAGACAUGCCGAACAGUCAGCGCCGCUCCCUGCAGUGUCUGGCCAUUCAGAGGACUCCCUCCCUCACCACCCGUACGUCUUUGUGGUUUGGGAGGGCUGACAAGAUUGCCAUCAAAGUGGGAAAUUCGGGAAAACCCAACUGUAUUUCGACAUCAGCUCUUGGUUUAAAAUACCAAAGCACAGAGAAAGCAAAACCACAAAGAUAAGGGAACUGCGAUGCAACUGUUGUCAAGGUAAAUGCAAACACCACGGGGUUUGUAAGCUGAGGCUACAGUUAGAAACACCUCAUUUUUAACUUCCGGUCUAUCAGGACCUAUAGUCAUGAGGAUGCUGGGGGGAAAAUGGCACAAAAGAUCCCUUCCUUGUGUGUAUUCAGUGGAUGGCCCACAAAGAGCUACCUCUCUUGCACUCAGGAGGACGUGGGUCUAUUGUGCCCAAGAGAGAUGAGAGAUGUAGGAAGAAUGUUAACCUCCCCAGGAAGUGGGUCCUCAGGGUAUAGAUGAGCAGACUUGAAGGCUUUCAACAGUGUUAAUGAAUGUGCUUCUUCAUAGCCAUUAUAUGCUGGUUUACUCCUUGGCAUCUAUGAUUAAAUCUGUGGAUGUUUGAUAUGCUCAGCACUGAAACAGGAAGAGUCAAACAGUCUCAUUUCUCCAAAGCAAAAAAAGAAGUCCAUUGUCUUCAAGACACCAUGUAUUUUCAAGUGUCUCCACACUUGAGUAUUGACCUGGAAGCCCCAGGUUUGGGUGCUUAGUGCCCUGAAAUUCACAGCUGUAAAUGGCACUAUGAAGCACCGAAGCUGUUGAGUACUUUGGAAGGAGCAGAUGCCUGCAGUUGAAACAUGCCGUUUGAAGCAGCCCUUUGAAAUACAGUGGAAAAGCAGUCAGCUGUUGUCCUUAAAUAAAGGGAAUAGGAGAGAACAGACUAAAUCAUAUCUAGUCUUUGCCUUCAGAUCCAGUCAUUCAUGAAGCCUUCUUUUUACUCAAAGCACAGCACGCCUCGAGAUUUUACCAUCUGCUCUUUCCUCUGAGGACAAGUCUGUUUCAUUUUACCUCCCUUGCAAAAAGUAACAUCACAGCGAGGAAAGCGCUUUGGUGCACUGGUUUGCAGUACACCUUGAGGCAAAAGGACCCCCAAGUCCAUGCCCUUGACCACAUUUGCCAGGGAACUGGCAUCUCUGUAUUUAUAGCCUGGAAAAGAUACCCACGCCAAGUGAUGUGUGAGCUGGAGCAGCAGUGCUGAAAAGCACUCUCUGUGCUGAAGGGUCAUCUUUCUGGAGGGAAUCUGUACCACAGGCUUUUUAGUGUGGGAACAUUAAUAACUGUACAUUGUUCUAUCUCCAGUCACUGCCUGGAGACCGCGUUCCUGUUUUAGCUUUCUGGAGAUGAGUGUUGUAAGCCUCUGUUUCCCAGCCAGCUCCAGCAUGGGCAUUGCUAUUCCACCCAUUCUCUGCCCUUGCAGCAGAAGAUGCUCUUUGUGGGCUCUGUUAACCUGUUCCCCUGCUGAAGUAAAGCCUCUGUGAUCGCAGGCCCGUGUGUCUUACCAAUCCACAGCACUCGCUAUCCACUGAGGUUGUUACUCCAGAGAAAGCCAUGUUACUCCGAGCAGCCAUGAGAGAUGAUACUUGUAUUGGGUAUCCUAGAGCUGCUGUCUCUCUGGAGGAAGAGGGGAUGACUUCUCUCCAUCUGUGGAAAUCCUACACAUGGGACAACAGCAGGAACAGUCCCAGGUUAUGUGCUGAGUGCCUGGCUGUCCCCAUAUGGCCCACGGCUCUGCCAAAGGUUUUGAAGAGAGUGUACCUCACAGUCUCAUUUGGGACAGGAUCCACAGCAUGGUGUAGACUGGCAGGGUUAUAAUCACAUCCAUUUGGCUGAGGAUGCCAGGAAAUGGAGCAUGGCAGCUAAGAGAAAAUCAAACACUGAUGCAGAGACAAUCUUUCAUCACCUCAUUUCUCACCCAAAUUACAGCAGCAAAUGAUUUCUGCUCAUGCCAUAGCAGUACUGAGAGCCAGGAGCUCUCCAACACCAGAACACAAACCACCUGCAUGGAGGGGGAUGAAAAUACAAGCUGAAGCAGGGGUAGAUGAGGAAAACCAGGAUGGCAUAGUCAUGGUCAGACAUAGCUCAGGAUACAGAGGUGGGUCUCGAGCUGCUGCUCACACAGGACACAGCAGUCAGCAAAGUCAGGAACAACAGGAUGGGGCUAAAUUUUCAAUCUGAAUUUUAAUCUCAGCUGAGUCAUUGAGGUAGAGACCAGGAGACUUCACUUCAUGUUUCAAGUGAACUAGAGAGA